rnacentral:SRP_RNA from 1 species
GGGUAGGCCCUGUACGACCAGCUCCUCUUGAACUCCUCCAGGACCUGACCGUAGCAAAGGUAGAGAGUUGAGCGGUGCGAUUCAGAUCGCUUGCCCACC